rnacentral:rRNA from 1 species
UACGUAGGGUGCAAGCGUUGUCCGGAAUUAUUGGGCGUAAAGAGCUCGUAGGCGGUCUGUCGCGUCGGCUGUGAAAUCCCGAGGCUCAACCUCGGGUCUGCAGUCGAUACGGGCAAACUUGAGUGUUGCAGGGGAGACUGGAAUUCCUGGUGUAGCGGUGAAAUGCGCAGAUAUCAGGAGGAACACCAGCGGCGAAGGCGGCGCUCUGGGCCGGAACUGACGCUGAGGAGCGAAAGCGUGGGUAGCAAACAGG